UAGACUUCUUCUCUCUGUUUGAUCUCUGAGCUGACUUCAACAAUAACUUCAUCUAAACCAUCAACAUGUCUGUUAGAACCCAUCCAUGCAACACUGCUCACAGAUGUGUUACCUUCACUUCCACAUUAUAUCAGGUCAUCCUCUUCCUCCAAAAGAAAUGAGAAUUUUACUUUGGGGUUCAAAGCUUCUUUGUCUCCUGUUUCCUCCACCAGCUGAGCAGCUCUCCAUCAGACACAAGUCUGUCCCCAUCCUCCAGCUCUGAUGCAUUUCUGUUUGGUGGUUCUAUCCUGCUGAGCAUCGAGGUGCAGGAUGUCCACAGAAGCACAGACGGAGCAGCCACACAGCUGUCCAAGAAGGCAAGCUGCAUCUAGCUCUAAAACCUUAUCCACAGGCAUCACCUCUCAGACACCUACUGACACUUAGACACGUGCAUGCUGAUGAGUACAAUGUUCAUAUAGUGUUGCAGGAUGCAGAGCCCACGGUGCAGCUUAGGACUGGAUAAAUGAUCACAUGUUAAUCUCAGUUAUGAUUGUUGACUUCCAUCACUCAUGAACACAAGAUCAUUGGAAUAAAAUGAUUCUUUUUGCAUUAACAGUCAUUAUGAAUAUUAUAAAUUCAUAAUUCUUAUAAAUCAAGUAAACUUCUUUCCUUUGUAGAAGUUUAAACACACUCACAGUUUAGUUCAGCUCAAGCCAAGAUCUCAAAAAGAAGCUUUGAAAAGCUCAACACUAUGCAAGUUUCUCUCUUGCAUUUUGUCAUCUAUAUGUCAUUGGGUGGAAGUAAAUUUAAUGUUUUAUUCUGUUGUAUUAGUUUGUUUUGAUAGUUUACAUGGUUCUAUAUUUAUUGUUUGCAUGCUUUUAUUUUGAAAGAUUAGUAUUAUUUCCUAUCCACAUCUUCCCAUCUUCACCAUCUGCUCAGUCACCUGUUAUAAAGAUGAAGGUCAGCACAGUGAAGCAGAGUGGACACACAGCAGGGUCACAGCUGAGCGAGCAGCAAAAUGGUCGUCAUGGAAACCUGUCCACAGAGUUCUGUCUGUGGAGCUGACGUCAGUGGACGAGGAGCUGGACCCAGAAAAAUAAGGGACUCAACUUGUGAAAGACUGAUCGCUUAAGAGAUGAUCUGUGUUACGACUGUUGCACCCGUGCACAUCAUCACAUCAGAGUUUGAUCUUGUGUCAACCUCCUGUUCAUCACAGAGUUCACAUUAUGAGCUACAGGGAUGGAAAUUAACAUCUCAGCAGAGGACCAGAGGAGGAAGAGGAAACCAGCUUGUGCUGUACCUCAGAUGGUGAAUACAGAUACUAAUAAACCAGAAUAUUAACACAAUUCUACGUUCUUUCCAAGAGUGUUUGCAAACAAACACAAACAUUUGAAAUUCACCAUCUCAUCUACAGCAGUGAUCUACUGUUUACUCUGUGAGAGAGAAACAGUCUUUUUCAUCUUCAGCUACAUGAUAACAAGCUUUUAUUGUGUUGAACCAUUUCUUAGAUCUUAAAGUGAAGCUGAUUACACUCAGACACUGAAGCAAACCUCUCACUGUAUUUUAUAUAGAAGCUGGAUGACUGCAGAGCAACAGUUUGUAACAUAUAAAAAAUGCUCUGAUAGUUUUCAUCUGUACCUCGACCCAGAUUGUUAAAACAACCUCACCCUAAUCUUGCAAUGCUUCAUAUCAAAGUUUUUUUUAUUAUUCAAUGUCCAUUAAGAUAAAAUGAAUACAGCUUAUAGGAAAAAGUCCUUCUGACUGAUUCUUCUUUAAGGGGUCCAGACUCAUAGCAGGUCUAUUUAAUGGACCAUUUUAACAACACAGUCAUCAGGCUGUCACUGCUCCCUGUGAACACUUUAAACUUUGGACCUAAAUGGCACAAUUAGCCUUGGGCAAAAAGUCAAAGUCCAGUUUUGUGAGUACAGAAAACACGUGCAUGAUAUUUGUUUGUGAAGGAGUGAUGGGAACUGAUAACACUGUAUUUCCUCAUACUUCUGGAGCUUUGACAAACUGACUGAUGUUUGUUGUUGUAGAUCUGCAGCAUCCUCAUACAGGAAGUCUGGUUCGGCUCUCUGAUAAAAAGAAAAGUCUUCAUCUCUGGUCCUCUGAGUCUUACAGUAGAUAACACAGAGGUCACAGGGAGUUUCUGUGGAUGCUUUAAUGUCCAAGUGUCUUUCCUGCUCACCCUGAUAUGAAAAAGACCGAGUAGCCCUGCAGGUCAAAUCUGAUCAGUUACACCUGUUAUGGCUAAAUUUAACAACACUGACCAUUUCAUUAAAAGUAAUGAGCAGAUAAUGAGGGUAAAUUCUAUAGCAACAAAGUUUCAGCACAAUAAGGUGUAUGAGUUUGGGAAGAAAUAAAGUUUACUAACAGUAGUAAGGUGUUAUUGCCAUCAGCUAUUGAUGGGGUUAUUGGCAAUAAGAAUAUUGCCGAAUUAUGGAGAAAAUAUUACAGAAAAAAAUCUUAACUGUGUAAAGAGUGAAAGAUUGCGUUUAUCUAAUAUUAGUUUCAAUAAUGGCUAUUCAACCUGAAAAAGUACAACCUGCCAUUAAGAGGAUGCCUCCAAGCUGGUGGUUUAGACCCAUUAUCAGCAGCUGUCAAGUUAGAUGAAUGUAAAACUGGGUGUAUGCUGGGUAAUCUUCUUGUUUAUCAUUUAAUGUACACUGACGCUGUUAAGGGAAAAUCCCAAAUGGCAAACUGCAAAUAUAAACAGAACACAAUGAGACAGCGUAAUGAAUCACA